GGAUUCAUCACAUGAUAUUAAAGAAAAAAGUGGCUGCCGUUCUGACCAAGAAAGUCCUGGUAUGGAACAACCAAUUCCAGACAAGAGGUUUCAAAGAAGGAAAUGCAGGCUUUCAGAAAAUUUAAGGAGGCUUUCAGCCAGUGGAAACAAAGGAUUUUUCUAAAGCCUUCCAAUAACAGAGGAGAAGAAAUAAUUAUUCUAUCACUUUGGGAAGUGAACCUGAUGGAAAGGAUCUAAGACGUGACUGCAAGACCAGUCACCAUGGUGUGAACAACCACAUAUACACCCUGAACAAUGCUGUUUCAAAGCCACUUGAACAGAUCAACAACGAAACACGCUGAGUUAAUCACCAUUCAUGCUUGCCAACAGCCAGCACACAUUCCCCUGACAUGGGAAGGGGUAACUCUGCAGCUCUGUUUAACCAAAUGAACAGGCCUCAGGAAAUCAGUGUGGUAAGUAUCACUCUCCAGACAAUUAACUCCUGCUUUCACAUUAUACUGAUGCUUUUGUUAUGUGCAAAGUGUUGUGACUUUCAACAUAAAGCCUAAAAUAUUGUUCUACAGUAUUGUUUAUAUAGACAGACAUAUAAAAAGUUGUUCAUUGUGUUGUGGUUUUUUGUUUGUUUGUUUGUUUG